AAAGCAGCUUGGGGCAGAAAGGGUAUAUUUCAUCUUAAAACUCUCUAGCCACAGCCAAUCACUGAGGGAAGUCAAAGGAGGAAUUCAGGCAGAGAAACCACGGAGGAACGCUGCUCAUCGGCAUGCUCCCUCUGGCUUGCUCAGCUACCUUUCUUAUCCAGCCCAGACCCACCUGCCUAGGGAUGGCACCACCUGCUGUAGGGGCCACUCCUACAUCAGUUAGUGAUCAAGGAAACAUCCCACAUACCUAACUACAGGCCAGCAUGAUGGAGGCAGUUCCUUAGGCCAGCACAGUGAGGGUGAACAUCUGAAAAUGUCCAAGAGAACCAGGCUCCUGUGACAUGACUCCCCAAGCUUGAGGUGCUGGGGUCCAGCACAGAGAUCUGGGGAUGCAGUUUCCUAAGCACGGUCCCCACACUGGUCUGGAGGCUACAAGGCCAAGAUCAAGGUGCUGGCAGACUCAGGCCUCCAGCGAGGACUCUUCUCGGCUCAGAGACAGUUUCCUGACCUCCUUUGUGCUGGGUCAUCAUGAGGCAGGGCAAGCUGUGGAGGCCUCUUCUUGUAAAGACAGGGACUUCCUCAAGGGGCUCAAUUUCCCAGGGCCCUGUUUAUUCUGGUCUCCCCCAAGACCUUGCUCCUUAACAUUGGAGGUAGAGCAUCAAUGCAUGGCUUAGAGGGGA